rnacentral:rRNA from 1 species
CAGCCGCCGCGGGAAUACGAAGGGGGCUAGCGUUGCUCGGAAUGACUGGGCGUAAAGGGCGCGUAGGCGGCCAUUCAAGUUAGAUGUGAAAGCCCUGGGCUCAACCUAGGAAUUGCAUUUGAUACUGUUUGACUUGAGUUCGGGAGAGGUGAGUGGAAUUCCCAGUGUAGAGGUGAAAUUCGUAGAUAUUGGGAAGAACACCAGUGGCGAAGGCGGCUCACUGGACCGACACUGACGCUGAGGCGCGAAAGCGUGGGGAGCGAACAGGAUUAGAUACCCCAGUAGUCCCUGUCUCUUAUAC